rnacentral:rRNA from 1 species
UACGAAGGGGGCUAGCGUUGCUCGGAAUCACUGGGCGUAAAGCGCACGUAGGCGGAUUGUUAAGUCAGGGUGAAUCCUGGAGCUCAACUCCAGAACUGCCUUUGAUACUGGCGAUCUCGAGUCCGGGAGAGGUGAGUGGAACUGCGAGUGUAGAGGUGAAAUUCGUAGAUAUUCGCAAGAACACCAGUGGCGAAGGCGGCUCACUGGCCCGGUACUGACGCUGAGGUGCGAAAGCGUGGGGAGCAAACAGGG